rnacentral:lncRNA from 1 species
AUCCGAGAGGUGUAUAGUACAUGUUCAUGUUGUCGUUGAUUCUUGAAAGAAGGCAACAUUCCUCUUGGUAGAAUCUUGUUUGUCACAGUAUAUAAUCAAAUACCAUUAGGAAACAUAUUUCCUUACUAGAAAAUGAGUUUCCUUACCAGAAAGUUCUCAAAAAAUUGAUGAGAAAGUGAAACAAAAAAUUCUCAGGGACGAGAAGUUGAUGUUGAACAAAGCGGUCCAAGUUGAGGUUCCUAGGCAGAAGAUCGCUGUAAUACAGCAGCGUCGUCAGCGUCGCCGCCGGCUGAGCAACCAUAAACCCCACCGUCUUCGCCAACGAUCGGGCCAACCUUGCCGUCAACCGCUGCAAAAACUACACAAAACCAAUAGCUCGAUCCCAUUCUUUUUCUUAAUUUAACACACACACACACACACAUGCACACCAUUAAAAGACUUACCAUUGAUUGUAGAAAAACUUCGAGAAUUGAAUGAUUGUGUUAUGGGGUUUGGUUUACACACAUAUUUUGAGGAGAAGUGUGUGAAAGAAUUGAAGAAUGUGUGGCAAGUGGUUUUGCAUUGAAAUUCGAUUGAUUAAGAAGAAAACAUUGGGCGUACGGCCUCGAACUUAUCGACGGCGUCAAGCUUAGUAGAGGAAAAGGGGAAAACAUAAACGACAUGUUUAUGGCUUUGUGUUGUCUUACUCCCCAAGAAAAUUCAUUACUUUAACAUGAAACUUCAAUUUGGAAUUUCUUGCGUUAGGAUCAACCCAUUUUAUUAAUGUUACUUUCCUUUUUAAAUUUAUGGGAGAUUUAAUUUUCUUUUUAUGGGUCUAUUUACAUGGCAUAUACCUUCAAUUAUUGUUUUUUUUUCCCCUCCUCCUUUUAAAGGGAAAACAGAAUUUAAACUUUACAUGGGUCUGUCUACAUGGCAUAUGUUUAUGCAAUCAUCAGUCAUCAGACUCAGCACUUGUCAAACUGUAGACGAAAAAAUAUGUUACAUUAAUUGUCAAUACUUAAUAUUGAAUUAGUGAUCAUUGCCAAGUUGUAUAGAUAUCAUUUAAAUACUUGUGGUUCAUUUGCUCUAGAUUAAAAAAAGAUGAGCAUGUAAUAGAAAAAUAGAUGAUAGAAUGCAUCAUAAAAUAAAUUAUAACCACAUUCCUUGCAUACUUUAAAAAUUA